CUUGGGUGAAAAGAAAGGGAGAGAGGGGGAAAACUAAGAUGGAUUAAACUGGACGGGAAGUUCGAAAGAGCGAAGAAGAAGCUUUAAAUUCGUGUUUCAAUGCGGAGACGUAGUGUAGAGAACUGAAAAAUGAAUCAUCUUAGUAUCAGAGUGGGGCAGAGAAAUCAAACGAGAUUCUGUAAGUAGCAGGGAGCGAAAGCGGAGGAGUCCCAGAGAGUGAGUAAAUAGUAGAAGAAAGGAGUUCACAUAUCUAAGACUAAAUGUUAAUCCAUACUGAAAGCGCGAGUACUGUAAAGGAAAGUUGAAAGAGACUUGAAAAGAUCUGGAAUCCUGUCUUUUAAAGCAACUGUAAAACAGUGUACCUUUUGUAUAAUGGGUUUAUGAGAUAUCGUUUGGCAAAUUUAAGUAAAAUGUAGGUGAAGAGAAGUCGAGAAGGCUCUUUAGUCAAAUUUCCCGAAACCAAGUGAUCUAACCAUGGGCAGUUUAAUGAACGAACCGGUGGUUGUAGCAAAAACCUCGGAGGAUCUGUGGAUAGGGGGGAAAGACCAAUCGGACUUGGAGAUAGCUGGUUUUCUACGAAAACUAUUGAAGUAGUGCGUCCACAUAGGGGUUGGGCGGUGUUUAAAAUAUAGUGUGUGAAACUUAUAACUGGUGUUUUAUCAUGGGCCUAUGCUUUGUUCAUUAUCUAAGUUUUUAUAUAUAUGACGCCUAAUAAAAAUUUUAGGGUAAAGAUCUAUUGCCUUAGGGGGGAUAGACUUUAAAGAUAAAAUUCGAAGUGGACAGAUAGACAAGGGGCAAGCAGGUCCGUUGUUAAAGGGGGAGAGCCCAAAUUAGAAGUUAAAGUCAGGGAUUCAAUAAUUAAGUGUAAAAGGAGUGUGGGAUUUAGACAAUGAAGAGGUAGGCUUGGAGCCAGCCAUCUUUGAAAGAAUGCGUAGAAGUUCAUUCAAGAACUCUUUUUCCCUAAAAAUUACGGUGGCUAAAAAUUGAACUGAAACUCUGGGGGUAGUAAGUAGUUUGCUUGGUAGUAGAACAGACUGUUGAGUGGUGGUGAGAGCCCAAGAAUCAGAAGAGAAAAUGUGAACAUGAGUAAAAAAAUUGUUGCCUCAUCUCUCCUGGUCACCAAGCCAAAGGUGCCUUUGGUUUGGGCAAAACAGUCUCUAAGGAGGUUCCCGAUGGGGGAUGGUAAUAAACGCACAAUGUGCCAGGAAAUAAUUAAAACAAAAGACUACUGUUGUAAACUAACACAAGUGGGAGAUAGUGGGGGGGAAAGUUUUUUUAAGGAACUCGGCAAGUUAUUAGCUUUCAUUAGAAGUUAAAACACAAGGCCUCGACUGUUUACCAAAAACAUAGCUCUUUGCUAAUAUGAAGGUAGAAGUAUGAAGGGUGAGACCUGCCCAAUGGUUGUAUCUAAAAAGGUUGGUAGAGCCAACUUAAUAAAGACAAUUUAAUGGCCGCGGUAACACUGACCGUGAUAAUGUAGCGUAAUCAAUAGUCAAUUAAUUGUUGGCCGGUAUGAAUGGUGUCACGAAGGUCUCACUGUCUUAAGGAAAUUUCCAGUGAAAUUGAAUUUGUAGUGAAGAUGCUACAUCCAAAUUGUUAGACAAGAAGACCCCAUGAAACUUUACUGGAAACUUAUGUGGCUGACUUAAAUAGUUUAAAAAUGUGGUGCGGGUCAACUAAGGCUAGAAAAGCGCACUUUUUUAUUUGAAGAAAGGCAACUCACGAACUUAUGUUUUUGGGGUUUGAUAAGUGGGACAGUUUGGUUGGGGCGACCGCCUUUAAAAAAGUAACGAAGGCGGGCUUAAGAUACAUAUUUAAUUGUGUCUGACUGCCAGGGGGAGACCCAGAGCAGACACUUAUCUUUGGACGGUGGGUUUAAGUGACCCGUUAAUUUAGGGUGAAAUAGUUAACGAUAAACAAAUAAAAGUUACUCUGGGGAUAACAGCGCAAUAACGUUAGAGAGUUUUUAUCGACGACGAUGUUUGCGACCUCGAUGUUGAAUUGUGGCAUCCUGGGGUGCAGUCGCUCCCAAGGGUUGGUCUGUUCGUCCAUUAAAGCCGUACAUGAUUUGAGUUAAAAGCGUCGUAAGACAGCUUGGUUUCUAUCUACAAUUUGAAGAAACAUUGAUAUAACUAUUUUCUAGUACGAAAGGAUCGAAAAAUUAGUGGUUCUCUUAUUUUUAUAAGUUACAAUCAAUUGAUUGAUUCAGAUGCUUUUUGAAGGGGUCUUUUGGUUAAUUGCUGAUUGCUUCUAAAGUAUGAAAGUUAUAUCAAGUUGUUUGAGGUCUGAAAAAGGAAGUGUUCAUUGC
rnacentral:rRNA from 2 species